AUGGGAGCUCUAUGGUGGAGCUACCAGUAUCUUGAUGAGCAGGUCAGGCGAUGCUUCGCUUACUGCAGUAUUUUUCCCAGGCGGCAUAAGUUGAGACGUGAUGAGUUAGUAAAGUUGUGGAUGGCAGAAGGGUUUAUAAAGACUAGUAAACCUGAAGAGGAAAUGGAAGAUGUUGCUAAAAAAUAUUUUGAUGAAUUGUUGUCGGCCUCAUUUCUGCAAUUAGGAGGGAAAGAAUAUGAUCAUUUACAUGAGCGUGAGAUUUAUUACUUUACAAUCCAUGAUCUGCUUUGUGAUUUAGCAGAGGAGGUUGCCGGAAGAGAUUGCUUCAGGAUAGAGAAAGACUUCACAGGAGAAGUUCCUCUUGGUGUCCGCUAUCUUUUUGUUGGGACUUGUAAUAUGGAGAUGCUUACUGAGAAGAUAUAUGGGUUGCAGAAUUUGCGCACUCUCAUCAUUGAUGGCCGGAUAGAUGUUGAAUCAGACAAGCACAAAGCCUUCAAGAGGAUGUUUGCUAUGUUCACGAGGCUGCCGAAAUUGCGGGUACUGAAAUUAUGUGCCAUGCCUUAUAACGACGCAUUCUCAUUCCCAGAAUCUAUUGGUGAUUUGAAGCAUCUGCGUUAUUUUGCUUUCUGUGUGUGGGGAAUUGUGAAGCUAACUUUACCGGGCACCUUUACCAAGCUUUACCACAUGCAGGCAAAUCUGGAAUUUGCAAACAUUGGCAGGUUGAUUUUUCUCCAAACUCUACCAUUCUUCAGAAUAAAGAGGGAGCGAGGGUAUGAGCCACAUCAUCUGAAACACCUAAACAAGCUUCAAGGCGAGCUGGCAAUCCAUGGUCUUGAGAAUAUUGAGAGCAAGGAGGAGGCUGUUGAAGUCAAUCUUAUUGGCAAGGAAAAACUCACAAGACUGAUACUGUCCUGGGAAGAUGGUAGCUGCAGUCCAGAAGUUCAAGCAGAGGUACUUGAGAACUUUACCAUCUUCAACUGCAGCUGGGAUGGCUUAUCAGGCAAGAUGGAACACCUCACAACGCUCAAGAUACUGAGUAUCAGUUACUGCGAGAAUAUGCGGUUGCCUCCAACAUUGCCCAAGUCUCUCAAGGUGUUUAGCAUUGCGGAUUGCAGCUUGAAGAAUGCCUUGCCAGGCAAUAUUGAGCACCUCACAUCACUCAAGAAACUGGAAAUAAACUCAUGCAAGAAUAUGAGGUCGCUUCCAACACUGCCCAAGUCUCUUGAGGAGAUUACAGUCAAGUACUGCAGUGACGAGUUCACACAAUCUUGUGUAACGACUGAUGAUCCAAACUGGCAGAAGAUUGAGCACAUUCCAAAGAAAACAAUUACAUUCUGUAGUUAA
rnacentral:rRNA from 1 species